rnacentral:rRNA from 1 species
CGGGGUGCAGCAGGCGCGAAAACUCUACAAUGCAGGCAACUGCGAUAGGGGAACAUCGAGUGAUCCUCAUAUUGGGGGUCUGUCCCACCGUCUAAAAAACGGUGGUUAGCAAGGGCCGGGCAAGACCGGUGCCAGCCGCCGCGGUAAUACCGGCGGCUCGAGUGGUGGCCGAUAUUAUUGAGUCUAAAGGGUCCGUAGCCGGCUUUGCAAGUCUCUCGGGAAAUCCAGCGGCUUAACCGUUGGUCGUCCGGGGGGUACUACAUUGCUUGGGACUGGGAGAGGUAGGAGGUACUCAGGGGGUAGGAGUGAAAUCCUGUAAUCCUCUGGGGACCACCGGUGGCGAAGGCGUCCUACCAGAACAGGUCCGACGGUGAGGGACGAAAGCUAGGGGCACGAACCGGAUUAGAUACCCGGGUAGUCCUAGCCGUAAACGAUGCUCGCUAGGUGUCACAACAGUCGUGAACUGUUGUGGUGCCGUAGGGAAGCCGUGAAGCGAGCCACUUGGGAAGUACGACCGCAAGGUUGAAACUUAAAGGAAUUGGCGGGGGAG